AUUGAACGCUGGCGGCAUGCCUUACACAUGCAAGUCGAACGGCAGCAUGAUCUAGCUUGCUAGAUUGAUGGCGAGUGGCGAACGGGUGAGUAAUACAUCGGAACGUGCCCUGUAGUGGGGGAUAACUAGUCGAAAGAUUAGCUAAUACCGCAUACGACCUGAGGGUGAAAGUGGGGGACCGCAAGGCCUCAUGCUAUAGGAGCGGCCGAUGUCUGAUUAGCUAGGUGGUGAGGUAAAGGCUCACCAAGGCGACGAUCAGUAGCUGGUCUGAGAGGACGAUCAGCCACACUGGGACUGAGACACGGCCCAGACUCCUACGGGAGGCAGCAGUGGGGAAUUUUGGACAAUGGGGGCAACCCUGAUCCAGCAAUGCCGCGUGUGUGAAGAAGGCCUUCGGGCUGUAAAGCACUUUUGUCCGGAAAGAAAUCGCACUUACUAAUAUUAGGUGUGGAUGACGGUACCGGAAGAAUAAGGACCGGCUAACUACGUGACAGCAGCCGCAGUAACAC
rnacentral:rRNA from 1 species